GCGGAAAUAGCUCAGUUGGUAGAGCACAACCUUGCCAAGGUUGGGGUCGCGAGUUCGAGUCUCGUUUUCCGCUCCG
rnacentral:tRNA from 1 species